GUUACUACAUAUUUUCAAACAGUAAGCUUAAAAUCAAAUGACAAAGAGCAGUGACAACUGGGGGAACCAUUCAAAAUUUAUAGUCAGAAAUUCUGGGUUCAAGUCAGAGCUGUAAGAUUUACUUCUGUAAAUCUUAGUGAUGCCUUACUCUUGUUCUUUGUGCCUCAGUUUCCUUGGAUGUGACAAUAUUUCUUUUCUUAUAUCAAAUGAUUGUUAUGAUGAUCAAAUUAUAUAAAAUAAGGAUUUAUAUAAAAGACUAUACAGGUUAUUAUAUUAUGAUGAUGAUCAUCACCUCACAGUACACGGUGCUUAAUAGCUUUUCAGUAAAUGUUGAAGUUAGAUGAAUCUCAUGACAAACCAAUUGUUUUCAGGUAAUUAUUUGAGAAACUUUUUUGAGGUAAUUAUUAAAAAAUAGAAAAGAGAAGACUUCAAAUGGCUAACAUAAAGCAAUGCUAACGGGGGUUUAGUUUAUUGAUUGACUUGUUUUAACUGCCCAGAUUAUCUCUAGUUUCAAUUUUUGCAUAUAUCAAGUGCUUGUAUAUAAAAUACACAAAGUUAAGGUAUUUUAUCUAUUUCUUAUCUCAUUAAGAAAAGCAAAACAGGAGAGGGGCCAAGAUGGCUGAAUAGAAACAGCCCUGAUCUGCAGCUCCCAGGGAGACCAACGCAGAAGGCCUCUUCUGGAACUGAUUGCAAGGAGUGAAAUGGACUAAUUUUAGAAUAAGCAACUCUACUAUGGAACAUCUGAAAAAAAAAGAGCACUUUUUAAAUUACAGCAAAAUAUUUUUUGAUAUAAAUUUGUGUCUGGCUUCCGCAGAAAACAGUAGACACAUAUAAGGUUUUGCUCCAAGAACAGACUGGACAAAUGAAAUGACAUAUAUAUCCACAAGGGACAUGUUUUUAAGGCAGUUGUCAGAGGAGAAAGAGGAGAAGCAUGUGGAAGGAGGGCUUCCUGAUGACUAAAUUAUAUGUAUGUUUCUGUAUGUCUCAUUUCAUGGGAACUACCUCUACUUUCAAAUGAUCAUUUCUUCCCAACAUUUCAAUCUAUAUAUCACUUCUCUUUGUAAUGAAAAGCAUGUUACUUUUCUAACUUUUAGCCUAAAUACUAAGAAAUAAAAAUUUAUUUAAUGAUCCAUUAGACCCACUUAUUUCUGUAUAGUGGCACCAAAGAGAUAUUUUAUAGAACACAUAGUUCUGUUUCUUAUGCCAUUAAACACAGGAGGUUAUUAUUAAGAACAGUAAUACUGAAAAAGUUUGUUGAGUGCAUACUAUAUGCCAGACAAAUG
rnacentral:lncRNA from 1 species